rnacentral:rRNA from 1 species
UACGGAGGAUCCAAGCGUUAUCCGGAUUUAUUGGGUUUAAAGGGUGCGUAGGUGGCCUGUUAAGUCAGGGGUGAAAGACGGUAGCUUAACUAUCGCAGUGCCUUUGAUACUGAUGGGCUUGAAUACACUUGAGGUAGGUGGAAUGUGACAAGUAGCGGUGAAAUGCAUAGAUAUGUCACAGAACACCAACUGCGAAGGCAGCUUACUAAAGUGUUAUUGACACUGAGGCACGAAAGCGUGGGGAUCAAACAG